CCUACGGGUGGCAGCAGUAGGGAAUCUUCCACAAUGGACGAAAGUCUGAUGCAGCAACGCCGCGUGAGUGAAGAAGGGUUUCGGCUCGUAAAGCUCUGUUGGUAGUGAAGAAAGAUAGAGGUAGUAACUGGCCUUUCUUUGCCGGUAAUUACUUAGAAAGUCACGGCUAACUACGUGCCAGCAGCCGCGGUAAUACGUAGGGGGCAAGCGUUGUCCGGAUUUAUUGGGCGUAAAGGGAGUGCAGGCGGUGCAAUAAGUCUGAUGUGAAAGCCUUCGGCACAACCGGAGAAUUGCAGAAGAAACUGCUGAACUGGAGUGCAGAAGAGGAGAGUGGAACUCCAUGUGUAGCGGUGGAAUGCGUAGAUAUAUGGAAGAACACCAGUGGCGAAGGCGGCUCGCUGGGCUGCAACUGACGCUGAGGCUCGAAAGCAUGGGUAGCGAACAGGAUUAGAUACCCGGGUAGUC
rnacentral:rRNA from 1 species